rnacentral:rRNA from 1 species
UACGGAGGGGGUUAGCGUUGUUCGGAAUGACUGGGCGUAAAGCGCGCGUAGGCGGAUCAGGAAGUUGGGGGUGAAAUCCCGGGGCUCAACCCCGGAAUGGCCUUCAAAACUCCUGGUCUUGAGUUCGAGAGAGGUGAGUGGAAUUCCGAGUGUAGAGGUGAAAUUCGUAGAUAUUGGGAAGAACACCGGUGGCGAAGGCGGCUCUCUGGACCGUAACUGACGCUGAGGCGCGAAAGCGUGGGGAGCAAACAGG